CAUGCCUAACACAUGCAAGUCGCGCGGGCGGUAGCAAUACCGUUAGCGGCGGACGGGUGAGGAACACAUAGGAAUUUGCCUUUAGGUGGGGGAUAGCCCAGGGAAACUUGGAGUAAUACCGCAUGAUGUCGCAAGACCAAAGCAGGGGAUCGCAAGACCUUGCGCCUUUAGAGGAGCCUAUGUCUGAUUAGCUAGUUGGUAGGGUAAUGGCCUACCAAGGCGACGAUCAGUAACUGGUCUGAGAGGACGAUCAGUCACACUGGAACUGAGACACGGUCCAGACUCCUACGGGAGGCAGCAGUGGGGAAUAUUGGACAAUGGGCGCAAGCCUGAUCCAGCAAUGCCGCGUGUGUGAAGAAGGCCUUCGGGUUGUAAAGCACUUUAGGCCGGGAAGAAAAAAUCAGGGCUAAUAUCCUUGAUCUUGACGGUACCGGAAGAAUAAGCACCGGCUAACUCUGUGCCAGCAGCCGCGGUAAUACAGAGGGUGCGAGCGUUAAUCGGAUUUACUGGGCGUAAAGCGUGUGUAGGUGGUUGUUCAAGUCGGUUGUGAAAUCCCUGGGCUUAACCUGGGAACUGCUUCCGAGACUGAGCGACUAGAGUACGGUAGAGGGCGGUGGAAUUUCCGGUGUAGCGGUGAAAUGCGUAGAUAUCGGAAGGAACACCAAUGGCGAAGGCAGCCGCCUGGGCCUG
rnacentral:rRNA from 1 species